rnacentral:lncRNA from 1 species
CUCACAGACGGGUGUUCUUGAGUAUGAAUAAAGACUGUUAUUUUCUUGGUUUCAUUCUAUACUAGUUUCCAACUGUUCAUCUCGUAUUUAUAUUAGUCGCACUUAACACAAGACGUUUAAUUUGUCCAGACGUUUAAGACGUCUUCUGAUAUAAAUACGGCCAUUUAGCUAGUCAUAACCUAAGUCUGACUUGGCAUAUUAACAUCACGACAUUCGUCAACCCCCCCCCCUGACUGGGUAUUGUUAAGAAGAAGCACAUAGUGCAUAACAGCUCUAAUUUUAUCAUUUCAUAUUCCAUACCAAAGUUUAAUUGUCACUUAGGGACCGGUCAUUAUUUAUGGUGGGGGGUGGCACCGAAGAGAAAUGUUUUUCGUGGCAAAAAGUUUGCUGACCCAACCAUUAAAAAGUCAAAAAUUUGAUUACCCAACCUCAAAUAUCAAUUUAAAAAUAAAUACCCACCCCUGGCCAAAAACUUUACAAUAGUGUGACGUUCUGUCACAUGAGUUUGAUAACGGAUUGUAAAAUUUUCUGCAGUUUAAAGUUUCAUGUUGUCUGCACAUGUACUUUCUUUGGAGGUACCAUUUGUCUCCCAACAAAUCGGAAAAUGAUCAAGAGAUAGUCACUCUGAUUGAUUCACAUACGGUAUUGUAUUGACAUAUGACUGACUACUGUUCAGGCUUUUUAGUCUCCAAUAUUUCAGUGAAUCAUGCUUUGGAAAUGACAAUAAUUUUUUAUUACCCAACCCCUGAGUUGUUUUGUUUUUCAUUUACCCAACCUUUUACUCACUCAAAAUUUUGUUUACCCAACCCUUUUCUCUUCGGUGCCACCCCCCGCCAUAAAUAUUGACCGGUCCCUUAUCUUGUCCUGAGAUAAUGCCCCUUCAAACGAACGAGAUAUAAUUUGUCAUGGGGACCAAAUGAUUUUUAUGCGUUUUCGCCCUUUAUAUGUAAGUGCAACACAUACAAAAUGCGUGACCACACUCAGGUCUCGCUUUAUCUUACAAUUUCUAUACAAUUAUCAUUUAUUUACUGAGACCGAGGGAAACAGUGUGUUUUGUGGAACCGAGACCUGUGUGUCGAGGGACCACAAAACACACUGCUUUCCCGAGGAUUCAGUAAAUAAGUGUUUUGUUAUAUAGUGUAUAAGUGUCAAAGUAUGAAUAAUUCAUCGGUUAUUGGAGUGAACUUAAUUUGAAAAAAAAACAAAAAAACCAAAAACAAAAAAAAACAAAAAAACUGAAACCAAAACCAAAAACAAAAAAAAACAAAAACCAAAACCAAAACCAAAACUGGAUAAAUGGAACUCCGUAAAUGUUUAGUAAAAAGUUUUAAAAAUGAACUUUGGAACUUCAUGGUUGACACGCAUGCGUAUUGCACCCAUUUUAUUAUUGACCGGUCAAUAAAUGUUUCAUUGCGGACCGGUUGCCGAACAUGACGUUUUGUGGACCGGCACGUGACACGGUUUUAACCAAUCGGCAAACAGAAAAAUUGAACUUUGACACUAACUAUAUAACAAUUUUUUUAUUUUUACAUCGGAUUGUACAGAAUUGCAUGCUCUUUCUAACACUACUAAAUAUGUUCUGGGGACCAAAACAUUUCUAUGCGUUCUUCCUACUCAAAUGUCAUGUGACUUCACGCAAAAUGGUUGUCCAUAUUCUGGUCUCGUUUUCGCUUCACCCAUUUUGCUUCAAACUUCAUCUCAUUUUCGCUUCAAAUAUUUUGAUUUUGACAAAUAUUUCGUAGACGUUUAUGGUCUUUGCAACGAUGCUAAAUCUGUCCUAGGAAUGGGGACAAACAAUUUAUAUGCGUUUUUGCGUCGGGCAGUGUAGAGCUGAUGCAUGUUACAUCCGACCCAGUGUCCAACAAUUAACCAUGUAUUUCCCAAGAACAUGCAAGCUAGAUCUACGCUGUGACCAAGAUCGUUUUGGCACAAAUUGACCCCCCCCCCCAGCACUGGCGUUAUUCAGUUGUGAGUGGCACUGGGCAGCAAAGUGACCCAGACAUCACAAUUAAUACAAGUGAUUUCCUGUUGAUUGCUUCUACUGUAGGUCGGCGGGAAGAUCGUGCAGCACGGUUGCUAGGGCAACUUCCCGGAUACGGCCCCUGUUUGCGGUGGAUCCACACGAACUGAAAAACAUCAUCCGUCAACGCUCUGCCGAAAGUCGUGGGUUUUCUCCAGGUGCUCCGGUUUCCUCCCACAGGGAAAGUUGACAGGUUGGGUUAGGAUAAACACAGUUAAGAAAGUAAUAUCACAAUUGUUGUAAAAAUAAAAUAAUCUACACGCGUAAAAACGCUCAGGUUGUUGCAAUAUUGAUGAAAACAGGAUUGAACAAUGCUUUGCUGCCCACAUUGUUCACAGUUGUCAACAAUAUUGAACAAUAUUGUUACACCUGAUUCAGGCAAUAUUGUUCAAUAUUGUUGACAAGUGUGAACAACGUGGCAGCAAAACAUUGUUCAGUCCUGUUAAGCAACGGGCUCGGCGUCUAAAUUAGCCUCCAGUCUCCAAGCGCUGAAACAAAAUAAGCCCCCACUCUAUUUAGCCCCCAUCCGGCAUUAAUUAAAUCAUUCUCGAUGUAAACUUAUUGCAAAACAUGAACACAAACGAUCUUUAUAACGUCCACUGAUAAUGUUGUGUAUAUAACGUUCACUGAUACGGCUAAAUAAUGGUAAAUUGUAUGAAAAUCUCCGCAAAAUGUUCCUCUAAUGAUGGGUUUGUAACUUAAUAUUUUUUACAAGAGCAAACUUUAUUCAUCCCCGAUCCUCUGUUUAGCCCACCGCCCCUUUCUUAUAAGCCUCCAGUCCAGAAUCACGGGAAAAUAUAUAAACUCCGCGGGCUACAUGGGGGAAAUACGGUAAUAUCAUUUAACCCAUGUAACUAGCCAUAAACCAGGAUAAUACGAGACACAUGAUCCGAUUACUCUUUCUAGGUUGGAUAGGCUCGAUGGUUUUCUUCCUAGGACGAGCGUUGUCCCCUAUAGUGGUUUAUAUUCACAGACGUGUUGGAUUUCGCUGGUGUAUGUUCAUCUCGAGCGUACUGUAUGGUUUCUUGUUAUGUGUCACACCAUUUAUGACCAACAUAAACGGCAUUGUCUUUUUAACUUAUUCGAUUCCAUUUGGGUCUUCGCUGAGCCUUGUCGCUACAUUGAUUAUCAGUUAUAACUCAGCGAGAAUAUUUUAG